GGACUACCCGGGUAUCUAAUCCUGUUUGCUCCCCACGCUUUCGCACCUAAGUGUCAGUAUUGGUCCAGAUAGCCGCUUUCGCCACUGGUGUUCCUUCCGAUAUCUACGCAUUUCACCGCUACACCGGAAAUUCCACUAUCCUCUACCAUACUCAAGAUAUCCAGUAUCGGAGGCAAUUCCCAGGUUAAGCCCAGGGCUUUCACUUCCGACUUAAAUAUCCACCUACGUGCGCUUUACGCCCAGUAAUUCCGAUUAACGCUUGCACCCUCUGUAUUACCGCGGCGGCUGGCAC
rnacentral:rRNA from 2 species